AAGCGUUGUUCGGAUUUAUUGGGCGUAAAGAGCGUGUAGGCGGUUUGUUAAGUCUGAUGUGAAAGCCCUGGGCUCAACCCRGGAAGUGCAUUGGAAACUGGCAGACUUGAAUACGGGAGAGGGCAGUGGAAUUCCURGUGUAGGAGUGAAAUCCGUAGAUAUUAGGAGGAACACCGGUGGCGAAGGCGGCUGCCUGGACCGAUAUUGACGCUGAGACGCGAAAGCGUGGGUAGCAAACAGGAUUAGAUACCCUGGUAGUCCACGCUGUAAACGAUGAGAACUAGGUGUUGCGGGUAUUGACCCCUGCAGUGCC
rnacentral:rRNA from 1 species